AUGGCGUAGGGGUUCUAGCGAGCCCAACCUCCCACCCGUGUUUACUGUACCUUAGUUGCUUCGGCGGGCCCGCCAUUCAUGGCCGCCGGGGGCUCUCAGCCCCGGGCCCGCGCCCGCCGGAGACACCACGAACUCUGUCUGAUCUAGUGAAGUCUGAGUUGAUUGUAUCGCAAUCAGUUAAAACUUUCAACAAUGGAUCUCUUGGUUCCGGCAUCGAUGAAGAACGCAGCGAAAUGCGAUAACUAGUGUGAAUUGCAGAAUUCCGUGAAUCAUCGAGUCUUUGAACGCACAUUGCGCCCCCUGGUAUUCCGGGGGGCAUGCCUGUCCGAGCGUCAUUGCUGCCCAUCAAGCACGGCUUGUGUGUUGGGUCGUCGUCCCCUCUCCGGGGGGGACGGGCCCCAAAGGCAGCGGCGGCACCGCGUCCGAUCCUCGAGCGUAUGGGGCUUUGUCACCCGCUCUGUAGGCCCGGCCGGCGCUUGCCGAACGCAAAUCAAUCUUUUUCCAGGUUGACCUCGGAUCAGGUAGGGAUACCCGCUGAACUUAAGCAUAUCAUAGCCCGGAGGAAGA
rnacentral:rRNA from 1 species